rnacentral:rRNA from 1 species
UACAGAGGUCUCAAGCGUUGUUCGGAUUCAUUGGGCGUAAAGGGCGCGUAGGCUGCGGGGCAAGUCGGGUGUGAAAUCUCAGAGCUCAACUCUGAAACUGCACUCGAUACUGCUUUGCUUGAGGACUGGAGAGGAGAUUGGAAUUCACGGUGUAGCAGUGAAAUGCGUAGAUAUCGUGAGGAAGACCAGUGGCGAAGGCGAAUCUCUGGACAGUGACUGACGCUGAGGAGCGAAAGCCAGGGGAGCAAACGGG